CCAGAAUAGUCGGCCUGCAGGGGAAAUGUAUGUGUUAGACUGAACGUGCUCAAAAACUGCAAGUAAAAAAAACAUAAUUUUUUCAUCCAACCAAAACUCAGAGUUCAUCUUUAAUGGAAAAACUUAUUCGAGGGCUAUCCAGAAGCCAUCUGAGAAGUACUCGUCAGUGUUGUUCAGACCUCUUGUUUCAUUUGACGGAUUCGUGUCGAGUGGAUAUUCAUAAUAAAUUCACUGAUGUGGGUUCUUCUUCUAUGUGCCUAAUACAAUUGUUGAGUUUUUUCUGUAAUGUUUUUAGUAUAAUCGACCAAUUCACGUCUUUAAUUAUGAUAGUGAAUUUAUAAGAAUAACUUUUAAUAGGUGCAAAUACAAUGUAAUUACUACAAAGAGAGUGUAUUGUUAUAUCAAAUAAAUAAAACAUUACUUAAUAGAUAUGUAUAUGACAUCCGAUUAUUGUCUUCGGAAAGAAAUUUGGUUUUUAAGAGUAUUAUCAUUAUUAUAUUGCUACUAAAAAUUAUUGAUAUAAGAUAGUGAAAGUGUAUUUAGUUUUGGCUUUUAUUAUAUGCAUAUUCAUUUAAAAGUUAUGUAAAACUGUGUACAAAUCUAUUGGCUACCCAAAUCUGUGUGAAGAAAUAUCAUUUAAUAAUGGACAUUCGAAUCUGAUAUAUCAGAAAACGGCUUUACUACCAAAUUUUUAAACUCUAUCUAUAUCGCGCAUGCAGUCAUCAUUAAGAGAAACAUUAUUAAGUCACUCAGAAUUAAUUGCAGAAUAACUUAAAUCAGUUUAUAUUGACAACGUGCCCAGUGUUAUUAAUGGCGUCAAGUUGGUUAUGAACUCAUCUUCAAAGAUAUUAUCUUCAGGGGAAAUAACCCAUCAACAUGAGCUGGAACAACAUUUAUUGAAGCACACCAUUUCUUCGGGGCUUUCCACACAUCCUAAUUCAGCACCUUCAACUACGUUGAUUCACCAACAUAAUUUUUCUAAUAUUCAUCAUAUGCAAAGUUUGUCAAAUCAACAACCUAGCGUCAUAUUUAACAGCACGCAUUCCACGCCUUUUAGUGUAACAGAUAUUUUAAGUCCAAUUGAGGACUCGUAUCGGAAACUGGAGUUAAAUUGCAGUCCACCAUCACCCUUUAGAACGAAUUCCAGUGAAAGUAGUAUCACUUCACCUAAUACAUUAGGAUCUUCGACAAUGGCAAAUCCCUACGCGAUGGGUUCACUUUAUCAUAGUCCAGGAGUCCAAAGUUAUUGCGGGCCAGCAGAUAAUCUUUCAUUAGCAGGACAUUAUUCUGAUAUGAGAGGUUCGGCGUCUUGGUAUGGAUCUACUACAAAUGAUCCCAGAUUUGCCAUUACCAGGUUAAUGGGUGGGUCAGCGACUACUUCGAUGGGACAUAUGGCCAAUAUGGGAAGCCUAGCCACAUGUAGUGUAACUGAUUCGAAGCCAUUACAAUUCCCCUUGACACAGCGACGUAAACGGAGAGUAUUAUUUACCCAAGCUCAGGUGUACGAAUUAGAGAGGCGCUUUAAGCAGCAAAGGUACCUAUCCGCACCAGAAAGAGAGCAUUUAGCCAGUCUCAUACAUUUGACACCAACUCAGAAGUCGAGUCACAGCGGAAUCGUUGGAAAAUGCAAAGCUGGCAAGGAAGAACACCGUAAUCUCAUCAGACUGGUCAGUACUCCGCUUCAUCUUGCAUUCUAGCAUUGUAUCUGUGGAUCUUGUGAGAGUUCAGUAUGCGUUAGCAACCAGUACGUCCAUGACAGCAAUGAUAGGAGUACUAAUUGGACACAACGAAAUAGCAUUUCUAGCUGUCCUAGUGGGAUCAUUCUUUACUUUACGGAUAUCAAUCUAAUUACCUAACCUAUAGUAACCUAACGUGUGAUAUUUGAUUAAUAAUGAAACCUUUAUAAUCUUGUCCAUACAUAUAUGUAUGUAUUUAGUACUUUUUAGGGACAAACUAAAAUUUAUAUAUUAAACAGUUGUACUCAAUUUUAUGAGAAAUAAUCAAGAUUUCGCUAAAGGAUUUUAUAAAGAAUCAAAAUACGAAUUGAAAAGUUGUGGAAGGAAUUUUCAACUGAACUCAACAGCCACUGCGACACUGUAGUAAUUACCUGACAUACGUCUAAGGAAUGUAGCUUAGAUUUUAUUAUAUCCUUAUCAUGCAUUUUCCAUUCUACAAUGUCCGUUCAAAAACCUCUAUUAGUAAACUAAGUACUUGCGAUACAAUUCUUCUUCCUAAUCAAACGUCUGCAUCUUUCGCAACGGUCUGUGGAAACGUCUUUUUGCAAGAAAUCGAUACUGCACAUCAGCAACACGAAUUUGAAUUAUCCUUUAAAACUUACUUCGAAUCUUUUGUUAUGUGAAGGCCUUAUUUUGCACUACUCUCACGGGAGCAUUAAUGUUAGUUUGAGAAAAAUAAAAUAUUUCUACAUCAGUAGAAAAUAACUGUCAUUUGCUUCAAACAUCAGUUUCGAUGAGGAAUACAACGACUUCAAAAUGUAUGAAAUCAUUCGGUUUACAGAGCACGAGGAACUUUUCUCAAUAUUCGGCCCUUCUCAAACCUUUGUUAGCUUAAUGCCUGUGACAGACAUGUGGUAACAAUACCAUAAUAACACAAGUAUUAUAAUAUUUUUUUUACUACGUUGAUGACACAUAUCAAAAUGUACACUUCUAACUGGAUGAUAGCGCCAACCGACACUAACGUUUUCACCAAGCUGUGGUUAGGUUACCUACAGAUAGCUUGAUUAUUGUGAGUGCGUGAGGAAAACAGUUUAUAAAACUUGAACGUGAACACACAAAAACUGUGAAAACGAUAUCAGCCAUGUAUGUGCAUUUUUAGACGAGGACUCUUUUUGCCGCUCAAGCCGGUUUUCGUAGAUGAAUAGACCACAUGGAAAGACGAAGGGACCUUUGUGUUGUUCAGCUUGCUGCUACGAAAUUCGCCAUUCCUUUUCACUUUGAAAUUCCUUUCAUGGUUGCAACAGCGCUCAUUAUGUUCGGAAAUUUAGGUGUUAUUACCCCUUUUUUGUAUGUAAUAUGAAUAUAUGAAUGCAAAUAGGUAUAAUAAAUAAUGAUAAUGAGCGAUAAAGGUGUCCCCGUCUGAACGCCGUCUAUGAAGCUGAUUUUUCUUGUAGAUUUUACAGCUGACAGACAGCUGUCAUUUCCUGCUCUGGUUAGAAGCUAACCAAGACUCCUUCUUACGGUAAAGCUUAACAAUACUUACGUAACUGAUAGAUUCUUGAUAACCAGAUAUUGAACCAUUUUUCAACAUGUUGCUGAUAGUGAAUGGAACUGGAGGUAUUCUGUUAUACUUCUCAUUGAUUAAGUCGGGUUUGUUUAUUGUUCUUUUUUUGCCUCUGUUUUUCCACCAAAUAUUUUUAAAUUGAACUAAGUUUGAGUGCAACAAUUUCAGAUAAUUCAUUAGUUCAUGUUCCUUUUCUGUAAUAAAAACAAACCAACUAAAUAAAAUGUUCCUCAAUUCGCUUUACAUGCAUUCUAAAAAAGGUAAUUUAUUUAUGAUGUGGACUGCACAAAAUGAAAAAAAUGUUGCUACAGGGUAUAUUAGUUCUGUUCAUCUAACGAUUGUUCGUACCCCCUAAAGCUAAUUGAGAUGUAAUGGGGUCUUAUAUAUAUAAACGAUCAGGAUGACGAGAUGAGUUCCGGUUGUCUGUCUAUCCGUGCAUGCUGCAACUUGAGUAAAAAAUUGAGGUAAUAAAACUUUAUACACGUGUUCCUUGGUCAAAUCGGGAGGACAAGUUCGUAGAUGGGCGUAAUCGGACCACUGCCAUGCCCACAAAAUUUAAAAUCUUUCAAAGGAGGGGCACCUGCGGUUUGAAUAACUUUUAAAAGUGGGCGUGGUCCGUACAAUCGUUCACAUUCCAGUAUACAAAUUAAGCACCAAUCGAUGUUUCGGAAUAAAACUUUGCACGAAUACUGACUUUGAAGUAUACCAGCUUAAAACAUAAAUUAUCCAAAUUGAACCAAAACUGUUCAAGCCCUCAGAUACCGAACAUAUGGGCCCCAGUUCUUUUUGAGAACUUUUUAUCGAAAAUAUCGGUCAAUCUGUGAGACAUAUUAUAGGAACACAGAGAUAAUAUUUAUCUGAGAUUGAUAUGCCCGUGUGCCAAAAAAUGAAUGGGAUCAAUAAUUUUUUUAGUACCCAUAUACCUACAUUUUCGAAUUUCCGGCUGACUUCAUACCGCAAAUAUCAAUCAAUAUGUGAGUUAUCUUAAUUGUAUUGAUUAAGCCUGUUUGUCUACUAACGGUACCUCUCUGUGUCUAAAAUGAAUAAAAUCGGGUUAAAAUUUGCACUAGCGCUAUAUAAUUAAUAUGAGGAUUUUGAAAGAUCCGGUUGGCUUUACUCCUUAUUGGUAUGGUAUAUUGUUGAUGGUAUGUGGGGUACCUCAAUGAAACUCAGAGAUCAUCUUUUUCUGGUAAUAAUAUGUAUUAAUUCCCAAAAUAGACAAAAACGGAUCAAUAGUACUCCUACCUCCCGAAUAUCUAAUAUAAGAUUUUCAAACUUCUCAUUGGCUUUAUGCCGUAUACCUAUAUCGGUCAAUAUGUAAGAUAUCUUAACAAAAUUAACUGAACGGAUAAUAUACAUAAUUUAAUGCCGAAAAUAUUGAUAUUGGUCUACAAAUUACCCAAAUCCUCAUAUAGCCCAUAUAAUAAUUCUCGUUAUUUUAACAAACCGGAUUAUGUCGGUCAAUGUAUAAGUUAUAUAUUAUAUUUAUAAAAUUAGUUAAUUGAAGUAAUUUCCCCCGAUUUAAUCUUUGCAAGUUGCAAGAGUAUUAAAUGCUCGCUGACACCCGAACUUAGCCCUUCCCUUCUUAUUUUUGUUAGUUUCCAUUUCGGCUUUUAAAAUUAUUGUGCCUCAAAUAGAUUUUCGAUAAAUUCACCUAUAUUAUUAUGAAAAAUAGAACUGAUUAAGCUAAAUCUAAUUUUUUAUGUUGUUUGAAUAGUUCAAAUGACAAAUUAAUAUACAAUUUUUUCUUUAAAGCGACAAAAUUAGUUUUUGUUAAGAAAGACAUGCUAGCGCAGGAUUGCACCGCAAAGAAACAAAAGAAAUUUGUAUUUGCAUUUGUCAUUUAAACCAUUUACAAUAGUAAAAUUGAGUUAAAAUAAGCAAAACAAAACUUGGCAGCAUUGAAGAUAGAAGUUAUACGACUCUAAUGAGAUGCUUCAAUUCAACUCGAUAAUUUUGACCAACCAAACACAGCUUUUGUUAUCUGAGAAGUUUUGUGAGAAAACAAUACAUAUGCAACUAAAUUUUAAGUUAUUAUAACUCUUACCCUUUUAUUAUUUUACUCGAAAGAUACAAUUUAGACGACAAAUUUGUGUUUUUAUUCAUGUUUUAAAUGUAUUUAAAGUAUUUAGCUAAUAAAGUAUCAGUCUAUGAAAUCGAAACUCCACUAAACUUGUAUACAAAUUUCCAAAAGAAAGUGUGCGCUUUCUUUUUAUACCACAUUUCGCUCCCUAUUUCAGUAUAAUAAAAUUUUAAAUUUUCAAAUAAAUUAUCAUUUAAAAAUGACUAAAUACUGUUCUUACAAAAAAUUAACUGCAAUCUAAAAACAAUCUACAAAUACAAAAAACCGCAAUCAAAACUAAAUAUACUCAGCAUUUCACGGGUCAAAAUAAUAAGUGUGCAAUUACGGUAGUAGGCCUCGCAUAUUUAUUUUAUACAAAAAAUGUACCGUUAUCAAGUUUUUUAUUGUAAGUUCUUCAUUCUAAUAUUUUUUACUACCCUCGUGAGGAUAGAAUAUUAUUUGCUUUUGGAAAUUAGCGUAGAGCACCUCAAUUUGACAAUGGACAAGCAAACUUCACUAGACGUAAGAAAAUUAGUGAUAAACUUUAUGAAACGAAGAAAAUCUUUACUGAAAUUGCUUUGAUAAUUGGAAGAAGUCAUAAUAUAGUCAAAAAAAUGAUUGAUAAGCCAAAAAAUUUGCUGAACUAGGAGAUCGAACACGUUCGGGUUAGCGAAGGCGACUCAGUAAUACAGAAAAGCGAUCAAUUGUGAGAGGUGCAAAGAUAACUUCAACUGUCAGUGCCGUACAAAUGUCUGGAGAAGUGUCCAGAGUGUCCUAGUACCAGCACGAAUAGGCGAGCAUUGCAUACUAAUGGUUUGUAUGGCCGAGUACCGAGAAAAAAACCAUUAAUCUCUGCACAGAACCAAAAGCGUCGAUUAGAAUUUGCGGAAAAAGAUAAAAUUAAGGUCAAAACAUUCUGGAAUAAUGUAUUUUUUUCUGACGAAAGCAAGUUCGAAGUUUUCGGGGAAAAAAACACUAAAGUUAGAAAAAAUACGAAUUAGGAAUUUGAACGCCGGAAUUAUAUGACUUGCUAGAGUUCGACGUUGGUUCAAAAGACAUUUGUUCAAUUAAACAUUCGAUAUAACCGCAACAGUUCAUCAGCACAGUUGCUCGCAGAAUUGUAGGUGUUUAAAGAAAUCAAUUCUAUGCAUAGUUAAGGAAGCCAGCACAGCAGUAACGUGAAGUUUUUGAACAUUCUAUAGAAAAAAUUCUUCAACACAAAUUUUUGUCAUUCAUAUUUCUUACUCAUCAUUCACUUAGAUGUUUAGGUUAGAUUCUAUGGUUGUUUUUCAAAUAGGGCUCGUUCUUUGACUGCUGAAAGAGGUCUUUCCAGAAGCUAGAAGAACUUCUAUGGCGACUUGAACACUCUUAGAGAUUUUAUAUUGCUUACCUGCAUACUGAAGAUUUGAGUUUCGAGGUGUCUUAACCUAACUCGUCUUCUUCACGACUCCUGUGUUGAUUUUAAAGAAAUUUUGCAAUAUUCCCCUUUCGUCGCUAUUAGUUUGCUAUAAUACUAUUUUUGUUGAGCAAUGGUCCACGAUUGUUUCGUUAGAGGCAUUAGGAUAGUGAGUGGUCUUCGUGUACCAAUUUGUAGUUCGCCAUUUCCCGUGUCUGUAGACUUUUUUUGUAUGUUUUUCAUUUAAAAGACAUUGCUUUAAAAACCGCUUACUUAUUUGGCAAACAUUUUACCAUUGCUAAAAUGGAUUAAGUUUGGCUAAACUGCCAAAGCCAUUGUUUUCAAGAGCUGAGUAGUGGUUAUAAAUAUACAAUUGAAUACAUAAUUGAUUGCAUGCGUCCAAAAUAUUUCAGGCAGCACGCGUAGGUCAAAAGGAAAUCGGUUGACAUCGCCCCACACGAGGUAGUUCGGACAAUAGAAAGUUCCUUAGAAAAAAGAGAAAUUACCCUAGCGGCAUUCAUUGUCGUGGAAGGUGCAUUCAACAACUCUAGUACGGCUGCACUGAUAUCGGCUUUCGCAUCUUUUGACAUUAAUCAGAACAUGCUGGCCUGGUUAAGUCAUAUGUUAAGCAAUAAACAAGCUAUAUACGAUGGGAAAGGAAGGAAGAAAAAAAUCGUUCGCCAGAUCACGUGUGCCACCCUGCAAACAGGCACCUUAUCCCUCUUGCUUGGAUUCACCUUGAUCAAUGAAUUAAUACUUCUACUCGAUAGAGAGAGCUUUAUUCUUUUGUACAGGGAUGAAUCUUAAUCGUUUUUUCAAGACGAAAAACUUACUUAAAACGAUCAAAAAAGUACCGCAUUAAACCCCUGCAACAGAUUCAACAGAUUCAACGGAACUGCGGUCGCAUUAAAAACUACAAUAACAAAGGCUCUGGAGGUUAUCCUCGCUAUCCGGCCAAUACAUAUUCAAGUGAUGUAUGAUGCAAUGCUUAAUGCAUCUUGAUUUUGGCCAUGGAGUCAGAGUCGGGAUCACUGUGGGCAUGGUAUUAUACUCGACCUUGCUAAUGAGCUCGGGCUAAAUUGGCCAUACGAGCGAGAAAAGGAAAUCCAUGAGAAAUUAAACUCAACGUUUUUAUUCCCCAGUAAAGAAGAAUGGACCAAUGGUUCAGCGAACGACAGUUCUAACUGUGAAAUCCACAUAUUCACCGAUGGAUCAAAGGCUGAAAUAGGAACUGGAGCAGGCUUCUUCCGUAGUAAUUCAUACGCAGAAUGUAGCUUCAAACUAAAUGAUUACAAUUCACUCUUUCAGGCAGAAAUUGAUGGCAUAAUAGAAGAUCCCACGUGGGCUUCUGCUCCGACAAGUCCAUAAACCAGCCAAGCGGCAAUUAUGGCUGUCGGUAGCGCCUAUACUAAGUCUCCCUGCGUUAGGUUAUGCAAGCAGGCAAUAACUAGACACUCAGUAUGUAACUUAAUUAAUAUCUUCUGGGUACCCAGUCAUAUAGGAAUAGAAACAAACAAAAAGGCAGACGAGUUCGCAGCUGGGAAGGCAAUUGCCCUAAGCUGCCCCAUACCAUUCAGCUCCAUCAAAGGUUGAGUGAAGAAAUGGAUGCUAGAGAAACAGCUCAAAUCUUGGAAGACUAGCAAAGUGCAUACCAACAAGGUUACUUUGUAGCACUACUGAUGGUGGACAGCCCAAAAAAAAAUAUUUCAGGGGUCACCACAGGGCGCUGCCUUCAGUUCCCUUUGCGAAUAUUCUUUUACGGCCUCAAUCGAGUCGAAACGGGUUCCACGGAGUUGAGUUGAGUUUUGGAAAGAAAAAAAAGUCGCAUGGGGCCAAAUUUGCUGAAUACGGCGGUUAAUCGAUAGUAUAGAACGAGUUUUUGGUCCUAAAAUCGUUGCACACGAUGGUCCUUUUGAAAAAAACUCAGUUCUUUUGGAACAAGCCAAGCAUUGACGCGUCUCAUGCCCAAAUUAUCGUUCAAAAUCAAACAAGCUACUUCACGGCCGAUGUUUAGCUUAAGUUCUAUCUAUCUGGCACUCGUAUGAUAAUUUUCAAGCACGAUUUCCUUAAUUUUUUUAAUAUUGAUAUUAUUUUUUUGAUAUGAUAUUAUCAUCAGUGGUAGACGUCGAAGGACGACCGGAAAGAGGCAUGUCCUUAUCCACCCUUAAAGUCUUUGUACCAGUCGUAGGCUUAGGUUUUCGAAAGAUCAGAUUUACUAUAAGCCUUUUCUAACAUUCGCACUGAUUCCGCAUACGAAAUUUGGUUCGAAACACAAAAUUUGAUGCAAAUUCUUUGUUCAAUAUUUUUUUCCAUUGUAAAAAUCGCAAAACUCUACUGAGGUCGACUGAUUUCAACAGCUGCUGCAAACAAACUGGUUAAUAGAUCGCGCUCAGCUUUGGCAUAGUAAUUAAGGACAGUGCCAUCAACUUAACAAAAAAUAAAUUAUGAAGAAUAAUCAGCGCGGGCAGUUAAAUGACAAUUUCCAUAAACUUUCGGGUCACAAUGUUAAAAUAUGGUUUCAAAAUCACAGGUAUAAAUGCAAGCGUCAAGCAAAGGAAAAGGCGAUGGCAGAACAAAGCCAACAAAACCAGACUUCUAGUUCACCCAGACGUGUAGCAGUACCAGUUCUCGUAAAGGAUGGUAAGCCAUGUUCGGGUAAUAGCAGUACACCACUAUCUCAACAAGCUUGUACCGCUAGUAAUACAAGUAAUACCAGUAAUAACAACACUAACAUAAAUGAGAAUAUCGCUACCACGGAAGUUAAUAACAGCAUCACUGGUGGCUUAAAUCUUAUAACGGGUGAAACUACAAACUCCCAUUCACCAGAUACAUCAAACUCCCUUAUUGCUAGCUAUAAUGGGACGAUUGGAAGCCACAAUCAAAUUCAACAGCAAUCAUGCAAUAAUUCAUUAAUGUCAAACAGUUUAGCCAUGGCAUAUCGCAAUCAAAAUAACUUUAUUUCAAACGGACAUCAGCAACAGUGCACGGGUUACUUGCCUCUACAAGGUAGAGCGUGGUAAAGGGCGAAAAAAAUUAAACAAUAAUAAAUAGUUCACGAACAAGAAUGCAAAACAUAAAAAAUGUCGCUAGUAAACUCCGCAUUUAAAAGAGGUGUCCACUAAAUUCACGUAAAGGCGCAUGUAAAUUUUACCGCAGUCGCAUUUAACACUGAUAAAUUAAUGAUUUUUGUACAUGUUACGCUACUAGCAUAUAUAUGCAAAUAAAUAUCAGUUUUAUAGAAUUAUGGUCUUAGCCCGUAUAAAGCAAAUUGAUAUACAAAUAGUUUUUCUACUCUUAAUUGUUUAGUAAAGCUUAAAGGAUAAAUGUACAUACAUGCAUAUACACCUAAAUUAGUAUUAGGGUGGACCAAAACAAAAUCCUGUGAUACCGUGAAAAUACGAUGCGUAAUGACCACAAAAACUGCUGGUAUUAAUAAGAGGCGCAUUGUAAUUUUUGAUUUCCCAUAUAAAUAACACAGGAAUAUUUUUUUAUUUUAUUGGGAUGUUUGAUGCAAAGUAAAAAUGAAAACUUAUUUUUGUAGAGAGUUUAACGGUCUACAAAAAAUGUCCGGAAUCAAAUUUAGCUAAGUCUACUUGUUCAAAAGUUAUUUUAAGUCAAAGUCCAUUCUAAAAUUGUAAAAGACAAUUUUUACAAUAUUUACGUUAUUUUUCGAAGUAGUACCUCAAAAUCAUAUAUAUUCUUUAUUACAUUUAGCAAAUAUUUUGAUAAAUUAAGUUUGUUAAUAAGCUGCUUUCUUUUAUUUCCGAUUGAAGCAAGUUCUUGGUGUAUUGCCAUUUUCAACUCUUUUGCGGUAGUAAACUGGCGUCCAUUUUUAAAAGCUCUAGCAAAUAUUCCCCACAGAUCCUCGACUGGACUGGAAAAACCUUUUAUUAAGAGCUUCCUGUGUUAUUUUUCUAUUAAUAUUGUAUUAAUAUAAAGAUAUAAAGAGCUCAAAUUUUACCAGCAUUUUUUGUGGUCUUUUCGUACAGUAAUUUCACGGUAAUUAGGGAAAUAUUAAUAAUAAAGCUUUUCUGGACCACCCCAAUGAGUAUGAGUUAAAACAAGUGAGGGAAAGCUGAUUGCGAUCAAAACCAAACACUAGCAAUACUUGUAGUGCAACACUGUAAUAUACAUAUAAAAACCCAUGUGUAAAAUAAUGAUCUAUUGAAUUUUGAAUAUAUGUAGUAUGUAACGUUUUUUAAGGUUUCAAAUGAUAAUUAUUUAAUGAUUUAUUUUCUAAAGAAAUAAACGACAAAAGUUAUUCAUA